ensembl:lncRNA
GUAAGUUUUAGAGAAUAUAUACCCAUCCUCACAGCAAAUAUUAGGAAUCUCCUGAUGUGAGCUGUUUGAGAGGUUGUCUCUGUCUCAAUAAAAGUUCACUGAUUCCCCCAUCUGCUGCAGGUGUCCGGUUGUCUUCAUUCUCCGCCAGCCUGGUUAAGUCAAUUCCUCCUUAACAUCUAAAAGAACCUAUUUAAUGAAGGAAGACGGGUUCACUUUGUGUUUAAUAUUAUUCUAUUGCUGUUGUUUUUUUUAUAUCCUUCAAUUGGCGUCACGAACAGGAUCCGCUCCAGGCCAAACUGGAACGGGUGGGAGGACAUCGGCCGUGGUCUGAGUGAACGGAGUUUGGACAAAAGCUGUGUGCACACAAAAACAAGUUGGGAUUCUGUGUGUGUAUGUGUGCUGGAGAAAUAAAAAAAAAAAAAGGGAAAAGGGUCUCUCUCUGUCUCUGUGAGAGGAAAAAGGUGGGGGCCGAGUGAGCCCGCGGGGCCGAGCGGGUCCGCGGGAGCGAGCGUGUAUGCUGUAUGAGGAAGAAGGGAGUGAGAGGGAGCGAGUGAAAAGAGUAAUCGAGUAUUUGGUGAUUUUUUUUUAUUAUUUCAGAGGCACUGGUGUCUUCAUACAGGUGUUUUUUCUUAACCUGGAAGCCUGAGUACGGCAGCAGAAGACAGGCC